rnacentral:rRNA from 1 species
UACGUAGGGUGCAAGCGUUAAUCGGAAUUACUGGGCGUAAAGAGCGCGCAGGCGGUCGUCCAAGUCGCGUGUGAAAGCCCCCGGCUCAACUGGGGAGGGUCACGCGAUACUGGUCGACUCGAAGGCAGGAGAGGGUAGUGGAAUUCCCGGUGUAGUGGUGAAAUGCGUAGAUAUCAGGAGGAACACCAGUGGCGAAGGCGGUUACCUGGAGCUUUGCUGACGCUGAUGCGCGAAAGCGUGGGGAGCGAUCCGG